UGAAGGUAGAGGUGCGAACUUCAAUAGUACAGGUUCGGAGAAGGAUGAGCUUCAAGGAAGAGCCUGGAAAGGGACGUUCGCCGAAGUGAGGAAAGCCUCAUUGCUUUCUUUGCUGGUCCUGUGUUGAAAAAAUACCGGAUUGUCAAGACAAGACGUCUUGGAGAGCUAUCUU
rnacentral:ncRNA from 1 species